UUAAGAACACAGUGUCAAACACUGGACUUGAUCAGAAUAAUAUUCAAGAUUUUAAUCAAUGCACAAGGAUUUUAUUGGCGUUACAUUUAAACCAUCCAAUGCAAAGGUGACACAUGGCAAGCAAGGGGUGCUGGAUACAUCAAGAUAAUGAAAAGUCUCACGUUCGAAGGCGCUCAUGUGAGCUGCGAAUGCAAGUUUUCAGCCAAUGGAGAUGCUAAACAACACGUGAAUGGCACAUGGAGAGGAAGUUAACAAAGAAGCGGUUAUUAGCAGUUACACACGCACAAAGAGGAGUUCAUAGCCCCAAGGAGUAGCAAAGGAGAAGGAGAUCAUGGUGGAAGAUAACAACCUAACUGCUUCGAAUAUGCAAAGAAGUGACUAUAAAUAGAUGAAAGCAAAGACUGCAAAGGCCCCUGACCAAAUCCAGACUCAACGUCUUUGUCAAUUUUAUUUAUCUUUAAAUUUCUGCACUUUACUUUCUUGCACUCUACUUUCAUGCACUGCACUUAUUUUUCGUAGGAGUAGAUUAGUCUUGUAAUUUUAGAACUCGGUUGGUCUAAGGUUUCAAAGUUGCUCUUACUAAAGGUAACAUAUUGUAAUCAUUUAUUCAGUUAAUCAAUUACAAUUUUCUGCCCA